rnacentral:piRNA from 1 species
UCCUUGACAGAGGCUCUAGUACAUUCUGUA